rnacentral:rRNA from 1 species
UACGUAGGUGGCGAGCGUUUGUCCGGAAUCAUUGGGCGUAAAGAGCGCGUAGGCGGCCAGAUAAGUCCGGUGUGAAAGUCAAAGGCUCAACCUUUGAAUGCCGCUGGAAACUGUCUGGCUAGAGUCCGGGAGGGGCGAGUGGAAUUCCUGGUGUAGCGGUGAAAUGCGCAGAUAUCAGGAGGAACACCAAUGGCGAAGGCAGCUCGCUGGAACGGUACUGACGCCUGGAGGCGCGAAAAGCGU